UCGGACCAGCGGCCUCCUCCCCUCCGGUCCCCUCCCCCGCAUCGGCCUGCCGCGGGGAGGGGGCUAGCGUCGCCGCCUCCAGCUGCUCCUCAUGAAGCAGCUGCCGUCGCAGCCGCCACCGAAGAUGGGGGAUUUCUACGAUCCCGAGCACCCGACCCCUGAAGAAGAAGAAAAUGAGGCAAAGAUUGAAAAUGUGCAGAAAACAGGUUUCAUCAAAGGACCAAUGUUCAAAGGUGUUGCUUCAAGUCGAUUUUUGCCCAAAGGCACGAAGACAAAAGUUAAUUUGGAGGAACAGGGACGGCAGAAGGUGUCAUUCAGCUUCAGUCUUACAAAGAAAACUUUACAGAAUAGAUUUCUCACUGCACUUAGCAAUGAAAAGCAAAGUGAUUCUCCAAACUCCCCAGCUACCCCUCUUCAAGUAGACUCAAACCCUAAAGUUAAAAUGGACGCUGGAGAUAAUUUUCCUGCCACAGAAGAAUCUUCACCACCAAAAUCAAGAGUGGAAUUGGGCAGAAUUCAUUUUAAGAAACAUCUGCUUCAUGUGACAUCCAGGCCACAGCUGGCUACAACUACAACAAUAGCAUCUCCCCUUCCUCCUACAACACCAGUCCUACAACCAGCAGUCAUAGCAGAGUCAACUAUAGAUUCACCACCUUCGUCUCCACCUCCACCUCCUCCACCUCCCCAAGCCUCAUCACCCUCACCACCAGCACCAAUAUCGGAGCCAGUGGCCUUGCCUCAACCCCCAGUAACAGCACUAAUGACAUCACCACCAGGACCUUUAUCAGUAGAUGUAGCAGUUAGAGCUCAGAAAGAACCACCAGUUAAAAGUGUACCGGAAUUUUUAGAGGUGGAUACGAAGCCAGAUAUUGUAUCUAAUAGUUUGGAAGAACACACAAUUCAAACUUUGAAGGAACAAGCAGAUAAUCCCCUGCAAAAAGAAGAUUCCCAUAUUGGGAAGGAAGAAGAGGUUUCAGAUGGCUCUAAAAUAAGCUUCAGUUCUAAAAAAGCAAAUUCUAAGAAGAAAUCUUCACAAUUUGAAGGCACAUUUCUUGGUUCAGAAUCUGAUGAAGAUUCUGUACGGACUUCCUCCAGUCAAAGAUCACAUGAUUUAAAAUCUUCCACAAGCAUUGAGAAGGAAAGAGAUUUUAAGAAGAGCUCAGCACCUUCAAAAAGUGAGGAUUUGGGGAAAUCAUCAAGAUCUAAAACAGAGAGAGAUGAUAAAUACUUUAGUUACUCAAAACUUGAAAGAGAUACUCGAUAUGUAUCUUCCCGAUGUAGGUCCGAAAGAGAUCGAAGGCGAAGCCGAUCUCGUUCUAGAUCUGACAGAGCCUCUAGAACUAGUUUGUCUUAUUCUCGGUCAGAAAGAUCUCAUUAUUAUGAUUCUGAACGGCGCUACCAUAGAAGUUCCCCUUAUCGUGAGAGGACGCGCUAUUCUCGGCCAUAUACAGAUAACAGGGCACGGGAGAGCUCAGACUCUGAAGAUGAGUAUAAGAAGACAUAUACAAGGCGCACUUCAGCCCAUUCCUACAGAGAUCUAAGGACAUCAUCAUCUUAUUCUAAAUUUGAUCGGGACUGUAAAACUGAGACCUCUUAUUUAGAGAUGGAGAGAAGAGGAAAGUAUUCUUCAAAACUAGAAAGAGAAUCCAAACGGACUUCAGAGCAUGAAGCCAUAAAAAGAUGUUGUUCUCCCCCAAAUGAACUGGGAUUCCGACGGGGGUCAUCAUAUUCCAAGCACGAUAACAGUACUUCCCGUUAUAAAUCUGCCCUUUCAAAAUCUAUAUCCAAGUCUGAUAAAUUUAAAAAUUCUUUCUGUUGUACAGAAUUAAAUGAGGAAAACAAACAAUCUCAUUCUUUUAGUUUGCAGACUCCUUGUUCAAAAGGUAGUGAAUUAAGAACAAUUAAUAAAAUUCCUGAAAGAGAAAAGACUGGGUCUCCAACUCCAUCAAAUCAAUUAAAUGAUUCACCUACUUUAAAAAAGCUAGAUGAAUCUCCCAUUCUUCAGCCUGAAUGUGUAGGGCAUGAUAGCCAUGAGAGUAUUAAAGAAUUGGAGUUAUCAAAAGUGAAAAAUGAUCAAUUAAGAAAUUUUUGUUCCAUUGAAUUAAAUGUAAAUGGAUCUCCAGAGACAGAAGCUGAUGUGGCAACAUUUUGUACUUCUAAAAGAGAUGCUAUUUCAAUGACUUCUGAUGAUAGUGUGACUGGAUCAGAGGUAUCCCCUUUGAUCAAGGCUUGCAUGCUUUCAUCAAAUGGAUUUCAGAAUGUUGGUAGAUGUAGAGAAAAGGACUCAGAUGAUACUUGUAGGCAGCACAAUAAAUCAAAAAGUCCAUUUAGGGAAGUGGAACCUUUGUUGUCACCACACCAUGAUAAACUCAAGUCUUUGCCAGUUAAGACUGUAGAUUAUUCCAAAACAUUAAUUAAAGAACCAGUUGAUAAGAGACAUUCUUGCUGCAAAACCAAAGAUUCAGAUAGAUACUGUUCUCCAAGUGAAAGCUCUGAAGCUGAAAAUACUGAACCUUCAGUUAUGAAGAUUUCUUCAAAUAGCUUUGUGGAUGUGCAUUUGGAAUCCAAAGCAGUUCUAUGUGGUAAUAGGGAGCUGACAGGUGAGCACUCGGCGUUUACAUGUGAUGGAUAUAAGCAGAGCAUUGGUAGCACUAAUUCAGCUUCUCUUAACCAUUUUGAUGCUUUGUAUGAGUCUAUAGGGAGUUCAGGUAUUAUUUCAUCUCUCCAGAGUCUUCCAUCAGGAAUAAGAUGUGAAGAGAACACAUCUCUAACUCUAGGUGCAGUGCAGAGUACAAAAGGCAUAGAUUUUUUAAAGUAUGCAGGGAAAGAAACAGAUGUUGGUAGUGCCCUUCCUGAUUUAGGAAAAGGAUUUUCUUCUUGGGAAAACAGGCAUAAUAACGAGUUACCUGGGCAGUCUUUGCAGGAGGCUCAAGAAGAAGGGAAUUCCAUAUUGCACGAGAGAAGAGGAAGACCAGAAAUCUCAUUAGAUGAGGAAGAACGAAGAGGCCAUACACAUACUUCUGAUGAUUCAGAAGUUGUAUUUCCUUAUGACUUGAACCUAACCAUGGAAGACAGUGAUGGUAUAACUUACUCCUUAAAAUGUGACAGCAGUGGUAAUGCUCCAGAGAUCAUAUCUACUGUCCAUGAAGAUUAUUCUGGAUCGUCUGCAAGUUCAAGCGAUGAAAGUGAUUCAGAAGAUACAGAGUCUGAUGACAGCAGUAUUCCGAGAAACCGUCUCCAGUCUGUUGUGGUUGUGCCAAAGAAUUCUACUUUGCCCAUGGAAGAGACAAGUCCCUGUUCUUCUCGGAGCAGUCAGAGCUACAGACAUUAUUCUGACCACUGGGAAGAUGGAUUAGAGUCAAGGAGACAUGCAUAUGAGGAAAAGUAUGAGAGUAUGGCAAGUAAAGGCUGUUCUCAAACUGAAAAAUUCUUCCUUCAUAAAGGAACAGAGAGGAAUCCAGAAACUUCUUAUUCACAGUUCAACAGGAGAGUAGAUAAUCACCUGCCUGAAAUCGCUCAUUCUCAAAGUGAUGGAGUUGAUAGUACAAGUCAUACAGACUUGAAAUCUGAUCCUCUAGGUCACCUGAAUUCAGAGGACACAGUAAGGGCCAAAACAUCGAGGCCACAAGAGCUACCAGUUUAUUCUGACGAUUUUGAAGAUAUCCCAAAUAAGUCUCGGCAGCAGAUGAUUUUCUCUAAUCGGCCAGAUAGUAGUAGACUAGGAAAAACAGAGCUGAGUUUUUCUUCCUCUUGUGACAUUUCUCGAAUGGAUGGCUUGCACUCAUCAGAGGAACUCAGAAACCUAGGGUGGGACUUUUCCCAACAAGAAAGGCCCACUACCACAUACCAGCAACCUGACAGCAGCUAUGGAACCUGUGGUACACACAAGUAUCAGCAAAAUACUGAACAUUAUGGUGGAACCCAUAAUUACUGGCAAGGCAAUGGCUAUUGGGACCCAAGAUCAGCAGGUAGACCUCCAGGAACUGGGGUUGCUUAUGAUCGAAUCCAAGGGCAAGUACCAGAUUCUCUAACAGAUGAUCGUGAAGAAGAGGAAAAUUGGGAUCAGCGAAGUGGGUCACAUUUCUCAAGCCCGUCCAAUAAAUUUUUCUUCCAUCAGAAGGACAAGGGAUCAGUGCAAGCACCAGAAAUAAGCAGCAAUUCAAUUAAAGACUCUUUAGUCAUGAAUGAAAGGAAAGAUUUUUCAAAAAACUUCGAAAAAAAUGAUAUAAAAGAGAGAGGGCCUCCUAAAAAACGAAGGCAAGAAUUGGAGAGUGAUUCUGAAAGUGAUGGUGAGCUACAGGCUAGAAAGAAAGUUAGAGUGGGGAUAGAACAGGGAGAGUCGUCUGUGCCCCAACCCUCAGAGCUGAUGGGGCCUUCCUGUGCUAUGGAUGACUUCAGGGACCCACAGCGAUGGAAAGAAUUUGCCAAGCUGGGGAAGAUGCCUUGUUACUUCGAUCUUAUUGAAGAAAAUGUUUAUUUAACAGAAAGGAAGAAGAACAAAUCCCAUCGGGAUAUUAAGCGAAUGCAGUGUGAAUGUACACCUCUUUCUAAAGAUGAAAGAGCUCAAGGUGAAGUAGCGUGUGGAGAAGAUUGCCUUAAUCGUCUCCUCAUGAUUGAAUGUUCCUCUAGAUGUCCAAAUGGAGAUUAUUGUUCGAACAGACGGUUUCAGAGAAAACAGCAUGCAGAUGUAGAGGUCAUACUUACAGAAAAGAAAGGCUGGGGUUUAAGGGCGGCUAAGGACCUUCCUUCGAACACCUUUGUCCUGGAAUACUGUGGAGAAGUACUUGAUCAUAAAGAGUUUAAAGCUCGGGUAAAAGAAUAUGCACGGAACAAAAACAUCCACUACUAUUUCAUGGCCCUGAAAAAUGAUGAGAUAAUAGAUGCUACUCAAAAAGGGAAUUGCUCUCGUUUCAUGAAUCAUAGCUGUGAACCAAACUGUGAAACCCAAAAAUGGACUGUGAAUGGACAACUGAGGGUUGGAUUUUUUACCACCAAACUAGUUCCUUCAGGCUCAGAAUUGACAUUUGAUUACCAGUUCCAAAGAUAUGGCAAAGAAGCUCAGAAGUGUUUCUGUGGGUCAGCUAACUGCCGGGGUUACUUGGGAGGAGAGAACAGAGUCAGUAUUCGAGCCGCAGGAGGGAAGAUGAAAAAGGAACGCUCUCGGAAGAAGGAUUCAGUGGAUGGAGAACUCGAAGCACUGAUGGAAAAUGGUGAAGGCCUCUCUGAUAAGAACCAGGUUCUUAGUUUAUCCCGGCUCAUGGUUAGAAUUGAAACUUUGGAACAGAAACUCACCUGUCUCAAGCUCAUUCAGAACACACACUCUCAGUCCUGCCUCAAGUCAUUUCUGGAACGUCAUGGGUUGUCACUGUUGUGGAUCUGGAUGGCAGAGCUCGGCGAUGGCCGGGAAAGUAACCAGAAGCUCCAGGAAGAGAUUAUAAAGACUUUGGAGCAUUUGCCCAUUCCUACUAAAAAUAUGUUGGAAGAAAGCAAAGUACUUCCAAUUAUUCAACGCUGGUCUCAGACUAAGACUGCUGUCCCUCAGUUAAGUGAAGGAGAUGGGUAUUCUAGUGAGAAUACAUCACGGGCUCACACUCCGCUUAAUACACCGGACCCUUCUGCCAAGCCAAGCACAGAAGUGGAUACAGAUACUCCUAAGAAACUCAUAUUUCGCAGGCUUAAGAUUAUAAGUGAAAACAGCAUGGACAGUGCAGUCUCGGACGUCACCAGUGAGCUAGAGUGCAAGGAUGGUAAAGAGGACCUCGAUCCGUUAGAGACUGUCACUGUAGAAGAAGAUGAAGAGCUGCCGUCCCAACAGCUACUUCCACAGCAGCUCUGCGAGGCUGGAGUUGAGAGUGAAGCCACCCUCGAAGUCAAUAAAUUACCCACAUCGGAAUUGGAGGCAGACACCGAGACAGAGCCCAAAGACAGCAGUGGCACAAAACUCGAAGAAACUAUUGCUGAGGAAACACCAUCCCAAGAUGAAGAAGAGGGUGUGUCUGAUGUUGAAAGUGAGAGGAGCCAGGAACCACCAGAUAAAACAGUGGAUAUAAGUGAUUUGGCUACCAAGCUACUAGACAGUUGGAAAGAUCUAAAGCUUCUCAGGGCAGCAAGGAGCUUGUUAACAUCACCAGCUGACCAUGUGUCUCCUUUUCUCAACUCCAUUUCCAACUUCGUGCUGAAGAAAAACAAGAACCUAGCGUGCAUUCUGUGAAGAAACAGGAAGAUGGUUGGGAAGUUGGAUGAUGCAUGAAAAAUAUAAUAGGAGGUGUAUCGAAUUCCAAAGAAAAGUCAAACUGAAAAGGAGAGCACAGUAACUGAACGAGGAAGAGAUGCUGCUGCCUUUAGAGAUCAAACGGCUCCAAAGACUCCUAACAGGUCGCGAGAGAGAGACCCCGACAAGCAGCCUCAAAAUAAGGAGAAAAGGAAACGACGGGGCUCGCUGUCACCGCCGUCUUCUGCGUAUGAGCGGGGGACAAAACGGCCGGACGACAGAUAUGAUACACCAACUUCUAAAAAGAAAGUUCGAAUUAAAGACCGAAACAAACUUUCUACAGAGGAGCGCAGGAAAUUGUUCGAACAGGAGGUAGCACAGAGGGAGGCUCAGAAGCAACAGCAACAGAUGCAGAACUUGGGGAUGACAUCACCACUACCCUUUGACUCUCUGGGAUAUAAUACCUCUCAUCACCCCUUUGCUGGGUAUCCACCAGGUUAUCCCAUGCAAGCCUAUGUGGAUCCCAGCAACCCUAAUGCUGGAAAGGUGCUUCUGCCCACACCUAGCAUGGACCCUGUGUGCUCCCCUGCUCCUUAUGAUCAUGCUCAGCCCUUGGUAGGACAUUCUACAGAAUCUCUUGCUGCCCCUCCUUCAGUGCCAGUGGUACCACAUGUGGCAGCUUCUGUGGAAGUUUCCAGUUCACAAUUUGUAGCUCAGAAUGAAAGUGUGGUACACCAAGACUCCAAUGUUCCUGUAAUGCCAGUACAAGCUCCAGGCCCAGUCCAAGGACAGAAUUACAAUGUCUGGGAUUCAAACCAACAGUCUGUCAGUGUACAACAGCAGUAUUCUCCUGCACAAUCUCAAGCAACCAUAUAUUAUCAAGGACAGACAUGUUCAACUGUCUAUGGUGUGACCUCUCCUUAUUCACAGACAACUCCUCCAAUUGUUCAGAGUUAUGCCCAGCCCAGUCUUCAGUAUAUCCAGGGACAGCAGAUUUUCACAGCUCACCCACAAGGAGUGGUGGUACAGCCAACUGCAUCCGUGACUACAAUAGUUGCACCAGGGCAGCCUCAGUCCUUACAGCCACCUGAAAUGGUUGUAACAAAUAAUCUACUGGAUCUGCCACCUCCAUCCCCUCCAAAACCAAAAACAAUUGUUUUACCUCCCAACUGGAAGACAGCCCGAGAUCCUGAAGGGAAGAUCUAUUACUACCAUGUAAUCACGAGACAGACUCAGUGGGAUCCUCCUACUUGGGAAAGCCCAGGAGAUGAUGCCAGCCUUGAGCAUGAAGCUGAGAUGGACCUGGGAACCCCAACGUAUGAUGAAAACCCCAUGAAGACAUCAAAAAAGCCCAAGACAGCAGAAGCAGACACCUCCAGUGAACUGGCAAAGAAAAGCAAAGAAGUAUUCAGAAAAGAGAUGUCUCAGUUCAUUGUCCAGUGCCUGAAUCCUUACCGGAAGCCUGACUGCAAGGUGGGCAGGAUCACCACAACAGAAGAUUUCAAGCACCUCGCACGAAAGCUGACUCAUGGAGUCAUGAAUAAGGAGCUGAAGUACUGUAAAAACCCUGAGGAUCUGGAGUGCAAUGAGAAUGUGAAACACAAAACCAAGGAGUACAUCAAGAAGUACAUGCAGAAGUUCGGGGCUGUUUACAAACCUAAAGAGGACACUGAACUAGAGUGACGUCAGGCCAGAGUGGAGUAUGAGCAGAAAGGAUGAAUCCUGUGGCUUUUGCCCUACCCCACAGCCAGGGCUGUGCUACUGAUGUGAUGACCCACCAUCCUGAGCAGUUCAAACUUGCAGGUGUCAACUGUAAGCUGCAAAAGUGAGCUCUGUCUACAAAUGACCCCUAGUUGUGAGCUGUUGGUGGAACAGUUACAGGCCAUCAGAGGCAGUAGCCUAGGGAAGACCUUGGCCACACUUGACCCCAUUCUCAACUUUGAGUCUCCCCCUUGGCGGUGCUGUCAGCGCACAGACCCAUGCGCACCCUCCCUGAAGAUCCUUUACCCUGAUGAUAUGUAUUAUAUUUUAAUGUAUAUGUGAAUAUAUUGAAAAUAAUUUGUUUGUUUUUCCUGGUUUUUGUUCAGUUUUUGUUUGCUGUUAGCAUUUAUGUGCUGGAAUCAUGGAACGACUUUGUAAGGAUAGUAUAAAUUCUCCUGCAAGGUUUAAUUUGUUAUCAUGUAAAUAUUCCAAAGCAGGCUGCCUUGUGGUUUUGGCCAGCCUUGUGCUAUGUUGAUAAGAUUGAUUUACUGCUUAAGAUCACUUUACUUUAUCCAAUUUUUACUGAACUUUUUAUGUAAAAAAUAAAAUCAAUUAAAGAACUUGCAA